AUGAAGACAUUUUUAACGGAAACAACUGAAAAAUACAGACAAUUUGGUUUUCUCAUGGUUAGACACAACUCCAUCUAUGUCAGGUUUGGGAACAUAUCUCAGUCCUGUGAUACUGCUGGUAGAGCCUUGUGCAGAGCUCUCUGCAAGUCUCUGCCUCAGCUCUUCCAAGCGCUUGCCUACACAGAGAGAUGUCCCGAGAUGUCCUGGCACAGCUGCACUGGAGGCAUGGGCUGCUGUGUCUCCCCACACUGGUGCUGCUGUGGAAUAGAAUUGGGUUUAACCUGAAGUAGUUCUCCUGCAAACCGAAACACCCCAGCAAACACAAAACAAAAACAACUCUCCGCCAGUUUUCUGGGGUAAAGUGACUCUCUUGGGGGUUGAGGUGAAAUAGUUUCUGUAUCCCAUUUCAAGUGUAGAGAUGGUAUUUUUCUGCAGUAGCAUGGUUGGCAUAGACUCCCAGAUCCCUGUUUCAUGUUGACUCCACUGAAUUCCUUGACAUCUUUUAAUAUGUUUCCUGUUGUUAGGUCAGAUGCUUUCCCAAAUUAAAAGCCAACUGCAUUUUUAUCUCUCUACCUAGCUUAGCUGAACUGCCUAAUAAUAGUUUUCUUCUGAAACAGGUGUGGUUGUAAGAAGAGGCUUAAAACAGCCUUGAAAGCCACUUCAGAGCCCAUAGUCCAACAACUGGUUAUCUACAAAUGACAAUUGCAGCGCUGUGUGAAAGCAUUGUUAAAUACUCAUUUCUAUCAUGUAGCACACCACCAUGCAACAAAGUGCAAAGAAAUACUACUGCAAAGGUUUGUAUUCACUGCAAUAUGGCACUUUCAAUAUUUAAAAUGCAGUACUAAUUUUAUAAAUUGCACUUUGUGGUACUGCCAAGCAAGAAGAAAAGAAAGAAUUGAACUCUCCUUGGCUGUAUGUGAGAUGCUAAAUCUGUUCAAUUUGCAGGAUAAAAAAAAAAUAUACCUUAAAACCUAGAUGCAUAAAUAAUAAUUUGGAUGCAAGUUUCCCUCAAAUUUUCUUAGAAGAAUGCAUUUGCUAUUCAGGCACCAUAUUUGUGGUGACAUAACAUAAUUUUAUAUAUAUAAUAUAUUUACAUAGCAGGCACGAGUAGCCACUCUCUAUUAUUUACUGUGUCACUCAAUGGACAAGAUAAAACCAGCUUUGAAUUAAAAGGAAUAAAACCCCAAGCUGACUCA
rnacentral:lncRNA from 1 species